GGGCUAGUAAAGGUUUCGACAGGGAUUAUGAAGCUGGAGAAGCGAGCCGCAGGGUGAUGCGUUAAAUUCCAAACUUAAAAUUAAACGCUAACGAUAAUAAAUUAGCUUACGCUGCCUAAUGGCAGCAGUCUGACCUAGAGCACUCACACUUUAGGACCCAGGCUUCGACUAUGUGAGAAACGACACAUGCAAAGCUUUGCGCAUGUGGGCGUAUCAUGAAGCUACUGAAACCGGGAGGAUGUUUGUUUUCGACCGGCAGAGGGAAUGUUAAAUAACAAACUACACUCGUAGAAGGACAGGGGAUUGUGCUUCGGACACGGGUUCGACUCCCGUCUAGUCCACUA
rnacentral:tmRNA from 1 species